CCUACGGGUGGCAGCAGUCGAGAAUCAUUCACAAUGGGGGAAACCCUGAUGGUGCGACGCCGCGUGGGGGAAUGAAGGUCUUCGGAUUGUAAACCCCUGUCAUGUGGGAGCAAAUUAAAAAGAUAGUACCACAAGAGGAAGAGACGGCUAACUCUGUGCCAGCAGCCGCGGUAAUACAGAGGUCCCAAGCGGUGUUCGGAAUCACUGGGCGUAAAGCGUGCGUAGGCUGUUUCGUAAGUCGUGUGUGAAAGGCGCGGGCUCAACCCGCGGACGGCACAUGAUACUGGGAGGCUAGAGUAAUGGAGAGGGGGCCAGAAUUCUCGGUGUAGCGGUGAAAUGCGUAGAGAUCGGGAGGAACACUCGUGGCGAAGGCGGGUUCCUGGACAUUGACUGACGCUGAGGCGCGAAGGCCAGGGGAGCGAAAGGGAUUAGAUACCCCUGUAGUC
rnacentral:rRNA from 1 species